AUUUUCUCUCUCUGCCUUGAACAGAUUUCUUCCUUCUCUGCUCAAUACCAAUAACAAUCUCCGAGGACCAAGAAGGGAAGCUCAAGUAAGGAAUUACAAAGUGUACCUAUGCCUGAAACCACUCGAGAUUCAGGCCCGGGCCUCUGCGGUAAGGACUCAGCCUCUAUCAGGGAGAGGCGACGUCUGAAGACAACAUGUUGGAUGACAGCAGGAGACGACUGAUGAGUAACAGUUGAGCUAAAGGCUCCCAUGCAGCUCCACGUCUCAUCGGCACUGACAGAUUCGGGACGGCAACAUUGUGGAGCAAUCUGCAUCAGCAAGACAUGGGACAAAACAACAAUAACUGCACAUGGUAUUUUG